UACAGAGACUGCAAGCGUUAUUCGGAUUCACUGGGCGUAAAGGGUGCGCAGGCGGUUGGGUGUGUCAGAUGUGAAAUCCCGAGGCUUAACCUCGGAACUGCAUUUGUGACUGCAAGACUAGAGUGCGGCAGAGGGGGGUAGAAUUCCACGUGUAGCAGUGAAAUGCGUAGAUAUGUGGAGGAAUACCGAUGGCGAAGGCAGCCCCCUGGGUCGACACUGACGCUCAUGCACGAAAGCGUGGGGAGCAAACAGG
rnacentral:rRNA from 1 species